UACGAAGGGGGCUAGCGUUGUUCGGAUUUACUGGGCGUAAAGGGCGCGUAGGCGGUCAGCACAAGUCAGUUGUGAAAUCUCCGGGCUUAACCCGGAAAGGUCAACUGAUACUGUGCGACUAGAGUGCGGAAGGGGCAACUGGAAUUCUCGGUGUAGCGGUGAAAUGCGUAGAUAUCGAGAGGAACACCUGCGGCGAAGGCGGGUUGCUGGGCCGACACUGACGCUGAUGCGCGAAAGCCAGGGGAGCGAACGGG
rnacentral:rRNA from 1 species